CUGCAUUUUUUAUAGCUUUCAGCAUUGAGCAUCUCCAAUUGACAUCACUAUAUAAUGCAAUUUUUUCUGGCAGCAAAGUGAUUUGGUACUUCUGAGCACUGACCUCACUUUGUUCAAGUUCCAAGUUCUGGGACAAAGUCUUCAUUUCAUAUGAGAUGCUAGUAUCAGUGUGAACCGCCAGCAAACUAACUUCUUCAUCCUUCAAUAAAGACAAACCUUUCUUUGGUAUGAACCAAACACACUGUUUCCAGUGGUCACACCAAUUCUGA
rnacentral:misc_RNA from 1 species